CUCAAAUCAUAAUUCGGCAUAAAACCUGAAUUUAGAAAAUCUGCCUAGCAAUUGUUGAGCAGUCCUGAACAGUAUUUGUGAUUGGUUAAAUAAUUCAAGCUCCGCCCCUGACAUGUACACAGAAUGGCAGUGAGAGAGUCCAGCGGGAGAUUGAGGCGAAGACAAUGAGCCAUUAACAAUUAAACUUCAUCAACUUGGCGAAAUUGUUGUUGUUACUGGUUAAAAGAGUCGAAAAGGACCAUAUGCAUCAGAAAGAGUUGCAGAAUAAUUAUUAUCUGCAUUUUUGUUGGUUUUUUGGUAAUGAAAAACAUUCAUUGAAUCUCGAAACUACCUUUGUAGGAACAACCCCUGUAUCUGUGACAGGGAAAAAAGGAGACAGUGUCAUCCUGUCAUGUCAAUUUGAGCCCAGUGACAUUUUUCGUAUUGAUUUAUGGAGACAAAAAUCCAUCUUUUCAUGUCAGAAUGAAACUUGUGAGAAUGGGCGAUUUUCAAAAAAAGGAUGUGAUGUCACCAUCAAGAAUCUGAGCUUCAGUGAUGCUGGGAAAUAUACUUUGAAAGUCUUUUACAAUCAUAUUCAGACAGUAUUGAAUCAAAAAAAGGAGAGGAUGUACCAACUUCAAAUUCAAGAUAAUAUUUCUGUGCAGGAAGGUGGGGAGUUGGGUGAUCUGCCCAGUGCUCAUAAAGUUCUGCAUCAGCCCAGCGGAAGCACAAAGUGGAUGGACGUUUGGCCCAAGGAUCAGAGUGAUGUGAACCUUCAUAAUUUUAGGACCAACCACACAGGAACAUACAGAGUUCUGGACUCUGAAGAAAACAUCUUGAUCACAGUGACAGUCACAGAAUCAGGUACAGAAUCAAAGGACAAACAAGACGACACAAAUAAAGACAAAACUGAACCACUUCCUGUUUGGGCUUUGAUUUUGAUUGUGAUUGUGAUUGGUGUGGUGCUGGUUCUGGCUGUGAUUAUAUUUAUUGUCAUCAAGAAACCCCAAUGUCUGAAAAGGGAUGCUGAUACUGUGACCUACCGUAACCCCUCAGAGCAGAUUAAACUGAAUCUGAAUCAACGAAAAGGGAGUGAUGACGGAACAAAGUAUUCCAGCUAGAACACAUGUGGCCCAUUCAUGUGUUUGUCGGACUGUAAACAAACCUGUCUGCUAGUGCUAGUUCACACAGAACAGCUGAAUCCCUCAUAUUCUUCAAGAAAACCUGAAAACUAUCUCUUCUGUGAGCAACUAACUGCCUUCUCAUUAGAAAAAAAAUAAAACAUUAAAUAAAAAAUACA
ensembl:lncRNA